UACGUAUGGAGCAAGCGUUAUCCGGAUUUACUGGGUGUAAAGGGAGCGCAGGCGGCUUUGCAAGUCUGAUGUGAAAGGCCGGGGCUCAACCCCGGGACUGCAUUGGAAACUGUAAAGCUAGAGUGCCGGAGAGGUAAGCGGAAUUCCUAGUGUAGCGGUGAAAUGCGUAGAUAUUAGGAGGAACACCAGUGGCGAAGGCGGCUUACUGGACGGCAACUGACGCUGAGGCUCGAAAGCGUGGGGAGCAAACGGG
rnacentral:rRNA from 1 species